CGGCGGACGGGUGAGUAACACGUGGAUAACCUACCUAUAAGACUGGGAUAACUUCGGGAAACCGGAGCUAAUACCGGAUAAUAUUUUGAACCGCAUGGUUCAAAAGUGAAAGACGGUCUUGCUAUCACUUAUAGAUGGAUCCGCGCUGCAUUAGCUAGUUGGUAAGGUAACGGCUUACCAAGGCAACGAUGCAUAGCCGACCUGAGAGGGUGAUCGGCCACACUGGAACUGAGACACGGUCCAG
rnacentral:rRNA from 1 species